GAUGAACGCUGACAGCAUGCUUAACACAUGCGAGUCGAUGGGGAAGUGGUGCUUGCACCAUGGCAACCAUGGCGGACGGGUGAGUAACGCGUAAGGGACUUACCUGCAGGACUGGGAUAACAGGGGGAAACUCCUGACAAGACCGGAUAAUGUCAUGGAGCUGCAUGGCUUUAUGAUGAAAGGAGACGCCUGCGGAGAGCCUUGCGUCCUAUUAGCUAGUUGGUGAGGUAAUGGCUCACCAAGGCGAAGAUAGGUAGCCGGCCUGAGAGGGUGGACGGCCACAAGGGGACUGAGAUACGGCCCUUACUCCUACGGGAGGCAGCAGUGGGGAAUAUUGGACAAUGGGGGCAACCCUGAUCCAGCAAUUCUGUGUGCACGAAGAAGGUUUUCGGAUUGUAAAGUGCUUUCAGCAGGGAAGAAGUAAGUGACGGUACCUGCAGAAGAAGCGACGGCUAAAUACGUG
rnacentral:rRNA from 1 species